rnacentral:rRNA from 1 species
UACGUAGGUGGCAAGCGUUGUCCGGAAUUACUGGGUGUAAAGGGAGCGCAGGCGGGAAGCCAAGUCAGCUGUGAAAACUACGGGCUUAACUUGUAGACUGCAGUUGAAACUGGUUUUCUUGAGUGAAGUAGAGGUUGGCGGAAUUCCGAGUGUAGCGGUGAAAUGCGUAGAUAUUCGGAGGAACACCGGUGGCGAAGGCGGCCAACUGGGCUUCAACUGACGCUGAGGCUCGAAAGUGUGGGGAGCAAACAGG